UUCCUACGGGGGGCAGCAGUGGGGAAUAUUGCACAAUGGGCGAAAGCCUGAUGCAGCAACGCCGCGUGAAGGAAGAAGGGUUUCGGCUCGUAAACUUCUAUCAACAGGGACGAAAGAAAUGACGGUACCUGACUAAGAAGCCCCGGCUAACUACGUGCCAGCAGCCGCGGUAAUACGUAGGGGGCAAGCGUUAUCCGGAUUUACUGGGUGUAAAGGGAGCGUAGACGGCAUGGCAAGUCAGAUGUGAAAGCCCGGGGCUCAACCCCGGGACUGCAUUUGA
rnacentral:rRNA from 1 species